GAUCCGGCGGUGUAGUGGUAGCACGCCCUCCCGUAAAGAGUGAAUCCCUGGUUCGACACCCGCCUGGGGUCU